rnacentral:tRNA from 1 species
GCGAAGGUGGCGGAAUUGGUAGACGCGCCAGACUAAGGAUCUGGUGGGCUUUGCCUGUGAGGGUUCGAGUCCCUCCCUUCGCACCC